GGAGAAAAGCAGGGGAUCGUAAGACCUUGCGUUAAUGGAGCGGCUGAUAUCUGAUUAGCUAGUUGGUGAGGUAAAGGCUCACCAAGGCGACGAUCAGUAGCUGGUCUGAGAGGACGACCAGCCACACUGGGACUGAGACACGGCCCAGACUCCUACGGGAGGCAGCAGUGGGGAAUUUUGGACAAUGGGGGAAACCCUGAUCCAGCCAUGCCGCGUGAGUGAAGAAGGCCUUCGGGUUGUAAAGCUCUUUUAGUCGAAAAGAAAGAGUUGCAAUGAAUAAUUGUGAUUUAUGACGGUACCGACAGAAAAAGCACCGGCUAACUACGUGCCAGCAGCCGCGGUAAUACGUAGGGUGCGAGCGUUAAUCGGAAUUACUGGGCGUAAAGCGUGCGCAGGCGGUUUUGAAAGUCAGAUG
rnacentral:rRNA from 1 species